ACGCUCGACACCUACGGGAGGUAGCAGUGGGGAAUAUUGCACAAUGGGGGAAACCCUGAUGCAGCGACGCCGCGUGAAGGAAGAAGUAUCUCGGUAUGUAAACUUCUAUCAGCAGGGAAGAAAGUGACGGUACCUGACUAAGAAGCCCCGGCUAACUACGUGCAAGCAGCCGCGGUAAUCUGAGCGGGCUGGCAAGGC
rnacentral:rRNA from 1 species